ensembl:lncRNA
UACUUAAUUUUCUAGCAUCUGCAUUAGCUAGCUAUAGCUGCUGUAUACGGGGAACGGGUUAGCCUAGCGAUUUUUAGUACUUGCACUUGGUCCUAUGAACAUCAACACCGGCAAAUUCAGAUUUGUAGUACUGCAAUUUAAAUUUUUGACAAAUUUUCCAUUUCAAUAUUUUGUCAAAUUUCACAAAGUCCAUUCCCAGAUAUGUACGAACUUCAGCAAUGGAGGCAAGUAAGGUUUAUCACUUUCUAUGGCAAUUUACUUGAGUUAAAUUAUUUGCUCUAUAAAAACAUAUGGUUCUCACUGUACCAUAAUCAUCUUGCUAGAUAUGCCUCAUGCUGUCCUUUAUAUUACUUAUUUGCAAGGAAUUUAAGCAUUGACAAUUAUUUAAGAACGUUGAACCAUGAAAGAAUUGAAUUAUUUUUGUUCAGGGGUGGGUUUGCCCCUGUACAUUUAUUUCAAGAUCAGUGUUCUACAGCGUUUGUCAAAUUCAGGACUGGCGCUGGAAGCUGUAGGUGGAGGGAAGACCAGGAAUGGUGCAGCUGCUGAAGGGGACUGAGGCGACGCAGUCGGAGGUCCCUGUGGUGGCGGAGGUGUCAAGACCAACCAGCUCCUCGUCCAGGAAAGGGGAGUUCUUCAGACCG